rnacentral:lncRNA from 1 species
CCAAAUUCGUCAAGAAAGACCCAGCCCACCCCUCUUCUGAAAAACAUCCAGACCCCUUCACGUUCUUCUUCAUUCCACAAGGUAAUCCAGCAAGAACAACAAGUCAAAACCUAAAUUUCCAAAUUUGCCGCCUCAAAUUUCCCUUUUUCUACCUCAUAUUCAUACAAUCUGCAUGCUUAGCACGAGCCUAAAGACACGCGGAGCUUCCAUAGGCAACCAUGGUGUGGUCCAUUCCAAUUUCCUUUUUCUUUUGAAUUUCGUUUCAAAUUCGUACUAUUCCAGCUCACUGGAGCUUGAUCCUCUAAGAUGUUUUCAAAAUUUGUUCCUCCCACAUCGAAAAAUUUCUCAGAAUUUGGAGAUUUUGGGUGCUAUAAAUACUCCCUCCCUCUUACUGUUCAACGAGGAGUUUUGGAGGCGAAGAAAAGAGCACCCCGCUAAGUUUUUUGGGAGUUCUUAUUUGCGUCACUGAAAUUCAGUUGAUUCACGGCUAUUUUGAGUCAGAGUGGUGGUGGAGUUCAUCAGGUCCAGACUCGAGUUCCAGUCACUGCCCAGAACCAGGUAACUCUUUCCUUUCCUUUUCUAUUUAGUUUAAUUUUAGUCUAUGUUGUUGUGUUAUGUGUUAGAGCCGAUUUAAGGCUAGUUAUGUUUCCUAAUAUUUAUAUGUUUGAUGAAUACUUUUUCGCUGAAUGCCUAAGUAUUGGUGAUUUUACAAGUAUUUUAGCUAUGUUCUUUUAUUCCUGAUGUGUUGUUUAAGUUUCCAAUCCUAGCUUCUGAAGAAAGUUACUGCUUGUUUUUUUCCAGAUUUUUCGUUUAGUAAAAUGUGAAAUCCUGUUUUGAUUUAAUAGCACAUUUUGCUUGGUUGAUUUUGUAUCGCAUCUGGUGAUUGAAAACAACCUAAAAAAUGCCUUACCCUUGCUAACUCGACUGAAUAGUUACUCCUCUAUUGUUCCUUAAGAAUCUAUCUCUUGCGCCAUAAAAUGGAUAAAAAUGUUAAUACUUGGUUUAGUUUCUAUCAUUUUGGUCUCUAUGAAAUAGAGGUUUAUUUAUAAGUUUAUAAAAUCUGAGGUCUCAAAUUUAUCAUUCAAGAUUGUUUUGUAUCAUGUUUUUAUCAGAUUCUUAAGUCAUAUAUGAUUAAAAUGCUGAUGUGACUUGUUCGAGUUUAGUUGUUAUUUAUACUAUGAACUUGUUUCUUUAGUUUAGUAUGACACUUUUGAUACUCUAUUCUGUUCGUUUGUGGUCCAAGUGAUUGAGCAAUUGUAUGUCGUAUGUAGAUUCAGUUUGAGUGCACUCAAUCUCAAUUCUACUUUUACAUAUGCUCCUUAAAGUGAACCCCUGCUUUCUUCUUUUUACAUCCAAUUCCCUUUUUCACAAUGUGGGUAUCUUGCUUGCUUCUUAUGUUAAGGAUUUUAUUUGUUUGAAAACCAUGAGUUGAUCCUAGGUUUAGUUGAGCUCUAGAUGAAGUUGAAUUUAAAUUCAACUUCUCUUAGGUUGCUCCUAAAUCCCUUAGAUCCUCAUGUCACUCCUCUGAGCUAUAGAUCCUAAAUUGUGUACAUUGGCUUGGCUUGGAAUUCGUCAUAUUUGCUGAUUAUUAGUUUAAAUAUUGGAUGUUAUAUAUGUGUUGUUCUAUUUGGAAGCUCAUAUGUCAUGUGUUUCUUUACUAAUUGUGAUCAUUUAUUGAUUUGCUCAGUUUCUGAAAUGGUAGAGCUUGUGCCUCACUUGUUUUGGAUAAUUUUCGUGUCAAUUUAAAUAAACUCAGCAUGUUAGCCUUACAAUGAUUUCUUCCAAGUACAUAUUUUGAAGUUUUGUUAUGCUCAGUUUACCUAGAGUUAGUAUGGAUCAAUUAUGCAUCUAAGUGAUAUAAUACAUGUUAGUACAUUGUUAAUUUAACUUAUUAUUUACUCUUUGUUAAAAUCAAUUAAAGUGUGGUAAUUUUGUGAGUUAGAGGCGAGUAAUUUAUAGCUAACAUAUGCUGAUUGAAAGUUCAAUCUAUUUAAUUAGACACAAGGCUAUAAAAUCAAGUGUUUUACUUUCUCUUUUUAGCAGCUUCUCCUAUCUUUGUGCUUUUCUUUUAUUAGUUUUUAUUUCUGAGUUGUAUUAGAUAAAGAUAAGAAGUUGCCUAUUUGUUUUAAUAUUAGUUUUUUAUGUUUCAAUAUAGACUAGAAUACUAUAAUCUUGUUUAAGUUCAUAUACAACUUCUCCGUUCAUAUAAUUUUAUUUCUAAGUUCCUUCAUUUCUCAAAAUAAUCUUCUUCGCCUUGUGCCUUGUUUAAGAAGACUGAUUUGUGUCGUUUAGUAUUGAAUAUUCUCGGCUCAGCUUUCCCUUUGGUUUUAUGUUCUCUGUAAUAAUAAUCCAUUUAUGUCUUCCUCUGUUUGUUUUAGCUUAUUUUAAAAAUCUCGCACUAAGUGUUUUUUUUUUAGUUGUUGAUCAUGCUUGUUCCUCAUUUUGGUUAUUAGUAGAAGGCCUACUCUUAAGAUGGUAGUUAGAUGUUGAUAGGUUCUAAGUUUUUCCUGUAAUGCUAAGUUAGCAGCUUAGCUUGAUUUUUUUUUUAUAUUAUUAUUAUUAUUAAUAUUAUUAUUAUUAUUAUUAUUAUUAUUAUUUUAUGUCAGUUCUAAUGUUACUUCCUUUCCUUUCUUUGCAUGAACUCUCUUGUUCGAGUCCAAUUGGACUCCCCAUCCCUUGCAUUUUCUUCUUUUCGAGUCAAACCUCCGCCAAGUUACGAAAGGGAAGCUGAUAUAUUGGGUCAAGACCCAAAAAACCAGCAGCAACAGGGGCUCAAAAGAGCUGAAAUGAGAGUGUUUUGGGUUCAAAUUGGCCGAAAUUCGAACACUUGAUUUUUGCAGCAGUUUUAGCAGUCUCAAAAGGCUAGAAAUAGCAUUUUUCGGACUUAAAAAAGUUCGGAAAUAGCACCAGCAGCAGCAAAUAAGAAGUAGCAAGAGGACUUAAAAUUGUCCAAGUUCUAUUCGCCCUUUUAUUCUCCUUAUAUUGUGAUUUUGUGAUAACUGCUGUUAAUUUCUAACAUUUAUUUUGUUAAUUUAGAUGAUAAUUGCACUUAAGAACUUUUUAUGUUCUUUCAUAGUUAUUGAAAAGCAUUGAAUCCAUGUUCAUGAGUUUGAACUAACUAUUUAGUUC